AUUGAACGCUGGCGGCAGGCCUAACACAUGCAAGUCGAGCGGAUGAAGGGAGCUUGCUCCUGGAUUCAGCGGCGGACGGGUGAGUAAUGCCUAAGAAUCUGCCUGGUAGUGGGGGAUAACGUCCGGAAACGGGCGCUAAUACCGCAUACGUCCUGAGGGAGAAAGUGGGGGACCUUCGGACCUCACGCUAUCAGAUGAGCCUAGGUCGGAUUAGCUAGUUGGUGGGGUAAAGGCCUACCAAGGCGACGAUCCGUAACUGGUCUGAGAGGAUGAUCAGUCACACUGGAACUGAGACACGGUCCAGACUCCUACGGGAGGCAGCAGUGGGGAAUAUUGGACAAUGGGCGAAAGCCUGAUCCAGCCAUGCCGCGUGUGUGAAGAAGGUCUUCGGAUUGUAAAGCACUUUAAGUUGGGAGGAAGGGCAGUAAGUUAAUACCUUGCUGUUUUGACGUUACCAACAGAAUAAGCACCGGCUAACUUCGUG
rnacentral:rRNA from 1 species